GGCCAGAUAGUUUAGCGGUUUAGAACAGCGCCCCGCAAAGGCGUCGGUCACCUGUUCGAAUCAGGUUCUGGCUU